GGGGGCUUAGCUUAGUUGGUAGAGCGCUGCUUUUGCACGGCAGAGGUCGGCGGUUCGAAUCCGCCAGUCUCCA
rnacentral:tRNA from 1 species